CUUGUAGUUUCUUGUACAGAGGAAGCAGGCUCAGGUUAUUUCCAGCUAUCUGAAUAGGAAAUGUAUUAAUCCAAAUGGUUAUAAGAGCAUUUGGACAUCCUGGAAGCACCUUCAGAUAACACAAUUAGUGUUGGGCUUUUGCAACAGGUUAUCCAUUUGCCCUAAUGUUGUUUUUGGG